UACGGAGGCUCCGAGCGUUAUCCGGAUUUAUUGGGUUUAAAGGGAGCGUAGGCGGACGCUUAAGUCAGUUGUGAAAGUUUGCGGCUCAACCGUAAAAUUGCAGUUGAUACUGGGUGUCUUGAGUACAGUAGAGGCAGGCGGAAUUCGUGGUGUAGCGGUGAAAUGCUUAGAUAUCACGAAGAACUCCGAUUGCGAAGGCAGCCUGCUGGACUGUAACUGACGCUGAUGCUCGAAAGUGUGGGUAUCAAACAGGAUUAGAUACCCUGGUAGUCCACACAGUAAACGAUGAAUACUCGCUGUUUGCGAUAUACAGUAAGCGGCCAAGCGAAAGCGUUAAGUAUUCCACCUGGGGAGUACGCCGGCAACGGUGAAACUCAAAUGAAUUGACGGGG
rnacentral:rRNA from 1 species